UACCGUACCCGUACCGUAAACCGACACAGGUGGAUGAGGAGAGAAUCCUAAGGCCGGCGGAAGAAGCAUUGUCAAGGAACUCGGCAAAAUGGCCCCGUAACUUAGGGAUAAGGGGUGCCUGGGAAACCAGGCCGCAGAGAAUAGGCUCAAGCAACUGUUUAGCAAAAACACAGGUCUAUGCGAAACCGAAAGGUGAGGUAUAUGGGCUGACGCCUGCCCGGUGCUGGAAGGUUAAGAGGAGAGGUUAGCGCAAGCGAAGCUUUGAAUUUAAGCCCCAGUAAACGGCGGCCGUAACUAUAACGGUCCUAAGGUAGCGAAAUUCCUUGUCGGGUAAGUUCCGACC
rnacentral:rRNA from 1 species